GACGAACGCUGGCGGCGUGCUUAACACAUGCAAGUCGAGCGGUAAGGCCCUUUCGGGGGUACACGAGCGGCGAACGGGUGAGUAACACGUGGGUGACCUGCCCUCAGCUCUGGGAUAAGCCUGGGAAACCGGGUCUAAUACUGGAUAUGACUCCAUGACGCAUGUUGUGGGGUGGAAAGCCUUGUGCGGCUGAGGAUGGGCCCGCGGCCUAUCAGCUUGUUGGUGGGGUGANGGCCUACCAAGGCGACGACGGGUAGCCGGCCUGAGUGGGCGACCGGCCACACUGGGACUGAGACACGGCCCAGACUCCUACGGGAGGCAGCAGUGGGGAAUCUUGCGCAAUGGGCGAAAGCCUGACGCAGCGACGCCGCGUGAGGGCUGACGGCCUCGG
rnacentral:rRNA from 1 species